rnacentral:rRNA from 1 species
ACUAGCAGUAAGAGUUUGAUCAUGGCUCAGAACGAACGCUGGCGGCAGGCCUAACACAUGCAAGUCGAGCGGGCGCGAGCGAUCGCGUCAGCGGCGCACGGGUGAGUAACGCGUGGGAACCUGCCCUUUGGUUCGGAACAACACAGGGAAACUUGUGCUAAUACCGGAUGUGCCCUUCGGGGGAAAGAUUUAUCGCCAUUGGAGCGGCCCGCGUUGGAUUAGCUAGUUGGUGGGGUAAAGGCCCACCAAGGCGACGAUCCAUAGCUGGUCUGAGAGGAUGAUCAGCCACACUGGGACUGAGACACGGCCCAGACUCCUACGGGAGGCAGCAGUAGGGAAUAUUGGUCAAUGGAUGGAAGUCUGAACCAGCCAUGCCGCGUGCAGGAAGAAGGCCUUCUGGGUUGUAAACUGCUUUUGCCAGGGGAUAAAAAGACCAUGCGUGGUUAAUUGAAGGUACCUGGUGAAUAAGCCACGGCUAACUACGUGCCAGCCGCCGCGGUAAUUC